CUCUGAACAGUUCCAGGUCUGCUCCCAGGAUCUGAACCGGCAAAAUACUGGGCCACCAAAGGGGAGUGCGUGAACUUAACCACUCAGCAACAGGGUCGGCCCCUAAGCACACUUAUCUUAAAGCAUCCAGCAGUCCCAGAGCCUCCUAUCCUUUUGUUCUCUGGUAUACUUUGGGGAUCAAGGCACAAAGUCAGGCCGAUGUUGGCUCAAAUGCCCCCUCUGUCACUAUGGACUGCUGUGAACUUGGACACGUCAUACAACUUCCCUGAGCCUCAGUUUCUCCGUGAGUGUGAGGGGUAUAGCAUCUCCCCACAGAGAGUUGCUGCCACGUCUCUCAUAUAACAAGCUCUCGACGAGUGUUGGUUCUCUUUCUGUUCAUAGAGCAGCUUCUCUCCUGUUUUCAUUUGUGCAUGUGUGUGGGUGAGAAUGUUGGUGCCAGAAUGUGGCGUUGCUGGGUCAGAGAGGGCUGAGAAGAUACGUGGGCAUUUCUUUUUCAGACAACUCCUCAGUGAGAGGUCCUGGCUGGGAGGGCGGCUGGCAGUGCGAUGCCAGUAAGGGCCGGGCUGGCAGCGUGUGUGAAAUUCUGGUGCUAGGGAGCUGCCGGGAUUUGUGCUCCUACAUCAUUAAGACCAAAGGAGCUGAAGAAGAAAAGAGAGAUGGUCUUCAUUAAAGAUGAUUGCAGUCAUCACACCUCGCUGUCACCACGGACAAUCUGCAGGAGGAUGAUGCUGACAUACACUGGUGUGCCGUAGAAAAAUGCUUGAGGGAACUGGGGGGCCCAGUGGAAAUCAUGGUGGCUUCAGCAGACACGUGUGGAGGGCAUUUUGUGCCCUGGGAUGGCGUGUUCUAGGAUCACUGGGAAGAACGUGGAGAUGUUUCUCUUUCAGCGAAGAUCCUGGGCCUUGUCGUGGGUUUCCAAAGGACCCUGUUCCCUGUAGGACCAAGAACCAAAUCCUAGACCUCAUCGAAUCUCUCCUGAUUUCGUCUCUCUUUUGCAUAACGUUGGGGGAGAUGAUUUCCAGCAAGCAUGCCUGGAAAGGAGAGCUAUCGGCAUUGCUUGUGUGGCUCAUUUUCUUGACAAACUUGGGUUCCUGUAGUGUGUGGUGACCACGUGUCUUAUGGUGACCAUCCUGAGUGUUGACCACUUCCAGUUGCAUAAGAAGGUGGGAGAGGAGCAGCAAGGAGGAGGAGUGUGGUGUGAAGGCUGAUCCUGGCGGGUUUGAGCUCAAACCCCAGCUCUUCCUUCAUGAGCUGUGAGACCCUGAGAGAACCACUCCUCAGAACCUGUUUUUGCAUCUGUUCGUGGGGUUGCUCAUGACACCCAAUUCAUAGGGUUGAAGGGAUUAAACUGGACUGACCAUCAAAAGCACUUUGAGUGGUGCCUGACAAUAUUCCUCUUCCUUGGCCAACUGCUUAAAUGCCAGGGUCCUCAACACCCGUGCCUUCUUCCUGGUCUGCAGCAGAGAUUCUCUCAGGUAUGCUGGUCGUGCUGACACAUGCUUCACUUGGAGAACAUGGUUUUCCAACCCUGUCUCAUCCAUUCUACUGGUCUCACUGAGGCCCUCUGUCAGACUCUCCAAUCAGAGUACCUCCCUUCCACCUCUCUUGGACAUCGACCUGGAGAUGCUCCCACCACUGCUCCUGAAGCCCCUCCAACUCCCCAUGCCUCAGACCAAAUUUCUACUUUCCCUCUCAGCCUGCUCCGCCUGGGUUCCCUGACUCAUUUCAUGGUGUCCUCAGCCCUACUUUUAGCACAGCUUGAAAUCCUAGAUUUGUUUUUGGCUCCUUAUCCUUCACCUGCAAUGGGUCAAAAAAAUCUUGUCAAUUCUACCUUUAUUUAAUAGCUCUCAAAUUUUUCUUGUUUGGUUUAUUCUCAUAGCCACUCUCAUGAUUCGGAUUUUUAUUACUAGACUCUCCUCUUUCCAGUCCAUUCCACAUACCCCUGCAGGAGAGGUCUCUUUCUAAAGCUGAUCAAGUCACUCCUUUACUAAAAAAAGCUUCAGAGGGUGCUUGUCACUUUCAGGGUAAAGUUCUAGGCCCUCCAUGAUCCAUUCCUCUGCUCACCUCUGUAGCUUUAUCACUCCUACUCCCAUGACACCUCGUGCUUCAGCCACUGCGGACUGAUCCCAGCUCUCAGCUACUCUUUCCUAUUUCUUCUGAGUGGUCACCCUGGCUCUUCUGGCUGUAACAAUCUUUCCAUCUCCUAAGCCCGCGUUCCAGCAUCACCUCCUCUGCGAAGCAUCCCCUGACCUGUCCAGUCACAGCGGUCAUGCCCAUCCUCUGGGUUUUCAUUGCUCUUAGCACAUUGUUUUAUGGUUGGUUGCCCACUGGAUUGCAAGUCCCACUGGGGCUGGGGACUGCCCUGUUCAUCUUUGUAUUUCACACCCUUGGUACUGGGCCUGCCCCAGAGUAGAUACUCUGUAAAUGUCGGUUGAAUUUUUGUUGCUGAAUGAGGCGCACUGCAAGGAUAUGUACUUCUGUAGGCGUUUGUUUGUUGCCUCUUUGCUACACAAAUCAAACUUCAGUCUCUUGGUAAUUUGUUAGCAAGCAAGUGGGAUAUAGCAAUACACGUUAAAACUGGUCUGCUUUUGACAAACUUCACUCCUUUGACAUUAAAGUGAGUUGUCCAAUGAAUUAUGGUAUCAAAAGAAAAGAAAAUAUCCUGGGCCCAAAUGAAGAACUGAGAAGAGACUUUCGUUGGGGAAUUUACUGCGAAUGACUCAAAAUAGAUUUCAGAUGGAAAAGCACCUUUAAAACAAAUUUCCAGGAAAGAUCAAAAUCUUGAAAUUAAUGAUUUUUGAGAAGCCAUUCUAUCCUGGAGCCUGUCUGUGCUGACCAAAGGAUUCACAGGGUUACUGCGUGGAGAAAAUUUGACAACAGAUGAGCAGUGCUCUGAGAGUCAAAGGUGUGAUUCUAAUGGACGACAUUGCUUGAUGAGCAGGGUAGAGCGUUUCUCCUGGGGCCUGGUGUAGCCCCAGCUGCUCUGUGGCCUUCAAAUGGCAGACAGAAGGUAGAAAAGCAUUUUGAAAUAGAUGUUACUCUGGCUUGAAUGUCUACUUUUAGCGUCUUUCUCCCCUGGUGGACCGCCUCCACUGCUCUACAUGAGCCAGUCACUAAAAUGGGUGUGGCUUAGGAGUGGACACUGAGGAAGAAAUGGGGGACCAGAAGAGACACUCACCACCUGCCCCGAUGUCCCUCCCAUAGGUCCUUGCUCAUCAGCCUCCGCUCCCUGCUCCUGCUCCUGCUGCAGGUGGUCCCGCUCCUGGGCCUGCUCUGUGCUGUGAUCUGGGUGAACCUCAGAAAGGGGGCUGAGGGGAGGUGAGCCAAAGACCUCCAUUCUCUUCUGCAUCAGCUUCUCAGGCCAGUUUUUUAGAGGAGCCAAACCUUUGACCCUCAGCACCGAGCCCUUCCCCGAUGGGCUUGAGAGGAGAAUGAGAGGCAAUGACCUGUCUAUACCUGUGGCCUGUGAUGAGUGCCCAAGACCAAACCAUAGCUGGAUUGUGCUAGGGGCAGUGGUUCCGUGGCCACUCCACAAACGCACAAUGAUGUGGCAGGACUCUGGUGUAAGACUCUAGACCAACCAACGAUUGGUCUACUUGACCAAACCAAUGCAGACCCCAAACUAGAGAAGAUUUCCACUUACCUUCCUGGGGUUCAGGAUCUGGGAGCAUUUCCUAAGCCAGAAGCUGUCUGGGGCAGUGGUCUCACCUAGCCACCUGCCUUUAUUAUCAUUUGUGUGUCUAUCAGUCAGUCUCCCUUCUUUGUAUCUUUCCUACCUCUGGGCCUUGCUCAAAGGGUGUUUGUAAAUGUUUUAGAACAAACUCACGAGAGCACUGUCUUACUUCUGAGUCCUUCGAACCUACCGAGCAGCUGGAGGAUGGCAGGCACUGAAUGAAUGAAUGACUGCUCGUUCAGUGACGGGAUGAAUGAAUCAUGCUCUGCCCUUUCCUGAGGGCUGAAGACACAGAGGGAGUUGAUCAGGGAUGGUAGUGACACUGGAUCCCACAUUUCUUGUAGGAGUUGAAGGUGUAGAUACUCACAUGCAUACUGGAAGCCACCUACGGGGUCAAUCUUACAGAGGAAUUAGCUGCCGUGCUUUCUCUGUGAAGACUGAGGACUUCGCCAAGAUCUAUGAGACCUGCCAAUGUCCUGGCCUUUACCAGCCUGUGGGGACUGAUGGCAGUGAGACCUCACUCACACGUCAUCCUUGGCACUGGCCUCCCGUCCCCAUCAAAGUCUGACCUCAGUCCUCCUGGCAGUGACCAGGGAGUGCCUUAGGGAUGGUUAGCCAAAACGUGGGCCACGUGCUGCUCCCGCUCGCUCUCCUUGAAGUCCAUGAGUGAAACACCAGUGCGGCUGCUGGCAUGUCCCCGAACAUCAAUGACUGUGCCAAAGUUGCCGUCUCCAAGUGAGCCCAGAUCUGCAGGCCCCCGAGGCCCCAGAGUGGCCAUGCUGUGUCCUUCUUCCCUUCUUUGAAUCAUACUUUGUUGCUAGGCCCUGAAGCAGUGUUGCUUGUCCCUCCAUACGUCACAGAGGACUGGUGAGGACAGCUCUAUCAGCUGCUGCCUGUAGCCACCAUCUCCUCAGGCUGGUCUCAAGCCCAGGGGGGGGAGAAGCGUUUUGAGAGGCCCCUGGCAGCCUCUCUACCAUCCCCUACCCCUGCCUCUUCUGUUCUCAGGCUUCUUUCUCCAGUGUCCAUGGACCUCUGGAGUCCACCUGGAGUUGUCCUGCUUCCUGGUUCAUCGGACAUGACUGGGUGCGUCUGAAUGCCAGCUCCGGACAGUCUGAGCUGGGACACCUGAUACGUUUGUAUGAAGUGGUGGUCUGGUGACUAAUGUCAAGAUGACCUAUUUCUGCGGGGCAACUAGUGUCUCAAACUAGUUCUGGAGGUCUGCUUGGAGGUCCUUAUGUCUUCUCACGUGGUUUUGGAAGGUAAUUAUCAGCCGAAUGCUGAGCCCUGCCUCUGGUUGCCAGGUAGACGGACAUUCAUCCAUCCAUCCACUCAUUGAUUCAUCUAUUCACACAGCACACAUUUACUGAGCAGCUAUUAUGAGCCAGUCACUGUACUAAGUGCUGGGAAUAUUAAGGUGAAUUCUGGAGGGGUUUCUAGUCUUAUUGGAGAGGGGAACAUAACCUCACCCCCCUGUUUCUGGUUGGGUUCAGUGAACGGGCAGUAGGAGGUAGGAGGGCAGGAAGAAAGAAAGCUGCCUCCCUGCGGGGUUGGGAGUGUCUGCACCUCCCCACCAAGGGCCCAGCCCCUGCCAGGUAUUCCUUUCCCUCAGCCCCUCCUGGGUAGUCUUUCCCUCAGCGCUGAUGGAUGGUCGCUCCCUCAGCGCUGAUGGCUGGUCUCUCUUAAGGCUCAUGUCAGGUUCUGGUUAUCGCUCCCCCCUCCAUCCCUUAGACAUAGAGGUGGUAAGGGCUCUCUGCUCUUGCUGUCACCCUGCUGUGGGGUUUUUUCUCUACGUCUUGUCGAUUGUCCUUAACUCUUUCCCUCCCAUUGUAAAUACUCCCUUCAUCAAGUUAUCCUCAAUUAUGCCACCCAAGUGUACCAUCUGCCUGCGGGGAUCCGGGCUGAUUGACCAUUUCUCAUUCAUCUUUGUAUCCACGGAACUGGGUACCUAGCAGACAUUCAUUCAAUGACUGUCAAAUUAAUAAAAUAACGUGAUAAGGGCUGUGUCAGACAUUUUCUGUAAAACUUGCUCUGUCUUUGGAAGUUUGGAAGUUUGAAAGUCCAACUUCCAGUCUUGACUCCAGAAAAAUCUGCUUGGUGAGUGCAUUUGAGGAUGCAGUGAGAAAUAAAAAUGUGACUUGCCUGUUUUUGGAAGUUGUGGGGCUCUUUUUGGAAAUCGGGUGCCCUGUGACGCUAAUUGCGAUGAGAGUCAGAGCCCAACAUUUCUAUGGUUAUUAGCAGUUUUCCUUUUGCCAGCCUCUUCUCUUCCUGAACAACUAUGUUCCCCCCAAUUUUGAAGUGAUGAGAAAACAAAUAGACUAAAGUGUAUAAAAGAGAGACACAAGGAAGCAGUAAGAGAAGCGGAGGCUCGUUUCAGUCCAGCUGACAUAAAAGCUCCCUAAAUUUUGGCAGAUGAGGCAGAGAGCCAUGAGAUGCGACAACGCUCCUGGUCACAGCUCUGCUCCUCCUCAGUGUCCUAGCUCAGUGUGAGGAGGCUGGUUGUAGCACGAGGAGCAGGCCUGGUGGGCUGGAGAAGGGGAGGUAGAUGGGGGGGGUGGGUUUUGGGGAGAGAAUGAGGGAAUCAGAAGGAUGACUGGCAUUUCAUGCUCCAACUCCAGAUUGUAGGUGAUCUCUGCCGAUGGCAAUCGGAGGCCCAAGCAAAGCCACCAAGUCAGUCUUGGUCAUCCAGAGGGCACAGAGACAACCCAGGGUGUGAGUGGGGAGUGUCUUGAGGGCAAGGCGGCAUCUUGCUCAGUAGGGUGCUCCCAACACAAAGUAGGGGUGGCGCAUAGUGAGGCUUUCACAAGUGGCAGCUGACUGCACAAAUGGAUCCCAGUUGCUCCAAACAUUGGAGAAGCCCAGUGGGGGGAGGAAGGCAGUGUCUGCAGCUUAACAAGAAAAGGACAGAAGCAGAUGAAAUAGGUGCUGGAGUGCUGGUGGCAGGGAAGGCCACACAGGAGGGCAUCGACAGGGCUGCCCCAUGGGGCCUUUGAGAGGCGCAGGGCCCUGAUCGCUGGGCUCCCAGAGACGAUGAAGUGGAAAGUUCUCUGUUACGGAAAAAAAAAGUGUGAUCGAGCUAUAUUCUGGUUAUUUAUUGCUCCAUAGCAAGUCAUUUCAAUGCUUAGUGACUUACGUCAACAACCGUUUUACUAAACCUCACAGUUUUGUGGGUCAGGAAUUUGGGCAGGGCUGGGCUAGGUGAUUCCUUUUUUUUUUUUCUGAGGAAGAUUCACCCUGAACUAACAUUUAUACCCCUCUUCCUCUAUUUUGUAUGCGCUGUGAACCUAACACCGGGAGUGGCUGCCUUUCGGAGCCCCGUGGGCCUGGGGGUGAAGCCAAUCUCCGAUGCCUGCAGAGCUCGCACCCUGGGGAAGACACUUAACCUCCUUAAUCCCGGCGCCUCAGCUGCAGAAGAGGGAUAAUAGUCAUACAUGUUCUGUGGGGUUGUGGGGAGAGGUCCUUCAGGUGCACUGCCAUUGCCUGACACCAGCACCCCUUUCUUAGCCUGCUCUGUCCUGGGAUCGAGUGUUUGAGAAAACACAACCACGAAUGGAUUAAUGUGAGCAGAUGGUUUUGGCCAGAACCACAAGAAUCUUCCUGUUUCGCGUCCCUGACAGAUACUUCACUUGCAAAUUGUAAAGUCCACUAGAUUUACGAAGAAAAUGCAGGCCUUAUCUGCCUGUUCUAGAGUCUGCCAGAUUCAGGGUCACUCUGGACCAGAACAUGCUUGAUGAGGAUGCAGGGCAUCAAGAGACAGAGAGCGUGAGAGGGUCCCCUAUUAAAUGUCAAAUGCUCGAACGCCGUCUACGUCAUGACUUCCAGCAUUUUUUUGUCACUAUGACUCACAAUAAGAGAUUGGUUUAUGUUGCAACCCUGCCCACACAUAGAGGAAACAGAAAUAAAGUUUCGGUAUUUACCAUUGCCCCCUGA